UGGGAGUGGAGCCAGAGCUUCGCUAGACCGUAAUUCCGCUGUUGUUUUUCUUUUCUUUUAUGAUGAGGAGGAGGCUGCUGAGAUAGAGAAGCACUACAAGGAGACUAAGAGAAAGGUGAAGGCAGGGCAGCUAGAGGACCUAGAUGAUUGUUUCUUGCAAAGCCAGAGGUCAGAACCGACAAUGCAAGCUAGUGAUGAAGAAGGGAAUGGAACCCCAUAUGCAGACAAUGAUGAAGAGGAGUUAGUAGAGGAAAUUGGUAGUGAUGGGGAGGUGAGAAUGAAAAGUAGUCAACAUCCAAGGUACAAGAAGAAGGCAUGUGUUCCUACAUUUGAACCUGGGAUGAAGUUCAACUGCAAGAAGCAAUUGAAGAAAGCUAUCACAACAUAUGCUCUUGCUGAGAAGAAAGUCAUUAACUUUGUUAGGGAUGAUGCCAAGAGGGUUAGGGCAAAUUGUGAUUGGGGUAGCUAUUCCCCGGGUAUGUCUUCUUUCCAAGAAUUCAAGGUCAGACAGUUGGCAGAUAGUUAUAUUUGAGAACCUGCAUGCUUGUCCACCUAGGAGGGAUAACUAGAUGGUUACCUCUGUUAGGAUUGCUGAAAAGUAUGGUAACUUCAUAUCUGUCAAUCCUUCUUGGCCCCUGGCUGACAUGAAAGCAAUAGUCAAAGAAGAAAUAUUUGCAUAAGCUUCUGUUUUUUUUUGAACCAAAGACAGUGGGGGAGGCCCCCACGGUAUAUUAAUUUUCUAGAAAUAUGUACAAAGAAGGAAAAAGGCAAAAAAGGGAAGGAAAAAACAGUUAAAUUACAAUUGAUCUAUCCAUGAUUGAACUAGGGGCCUAUAACAUUCUUUGAGCCUAAUUAAAUGUAAGCUCAAAUCUAACUUCAAGUUCAUCAACCAGUUUUGCACUGAGAGUUGGAUGCCUUGGAAAAUAAGUCCAUUCCUCUCCUUCCAGAUAUUCCAUGAGGCAAUUAAGAAUAGCUCCAUAAAGCAAGGAUGCAAGACAGCCACUUUUUGAGCCUGGAUCCUUUGAUGAAAAUCCAAGUUAGGGUUCCAUGUCCAUCCCAGACGACUCCAACAAGCCAAACUAAAAGGACAAAGGAAGAACAGGUGAUCUCUAGUUUCUCUAGCAUUAGCUGAGCAAGAGAGGCAAAGGACUGAAGUAUUGGGUGGCGCAUAGUGUUUUCUAUCAAGGAGAUCCCUUGUAUUAACCCUAUCCAUGAAGAAGAGCCACCUAAAGACCUUUAUUUUCAUAUUGACUUUGGACUGCCAUAUCCAUUUGAUAGUAGGUGGGGGAGUCAGAGCUAGAAAACUGAGCUUGUAACAGAGCUGCGAAGUGAAUUUCCCUGAUCCCCAAAUGAAUGUACAUGAAUCAUCAACCUCCGUAAGGUAAGAGAUUGGAGAUUUUCUUGCAUGUCCAUAUAUUCAUCAAACGCUUGUUGCGAGAGGGGUAGGAAGAAUUGAUCUUGGGGGCCUCUGGCCAAGUGUUGUGCAAUAGAAUCAUUCCCGUGCUUUGCGAAGGAGUAUAAACGGGGAUAUUUGACGGAACGUAUAACUCCCUCCCAUAAAUCAUCCCAAAAAAGAAUAGCUAUCCCAGAGCCUAUAAUUUGUUUUGCAAUGCCUCUAAACAAUAUAUCAUACUGAAAGAUGUCCCUCCACCAAAACGAACCACAACUUCUCACAAUCUGAGGAACUGUGUCCUUGUAAUAAGAGGACCAAAUAAGAUUUACCCAAGGUACAUGAGCUUUGCUGUAAAAUUUGUGCAAAUGUGUCAUAAGUAGGGCUCUAUUUUGGAUUCUCAAAUCAAUCUUUGCAUAAGCUUCUGUUUCAAAGCUGAAGAGAGUAAAGUGGCUUUUUAUGAAGAAACACUUAGAUGCUACUAGGGGGCAGUACCAAAAGUUGUUCAAUUAUCAACUUGAGCUUCUCAGAAGUAACCCUGGUAGCAUUGUGGUUGUGAACAGGGAAAUUGGCUUGAAUCCACAAGUUUUCAAGAGAAUUUAGAUCUACUUAGAUGCAUGCAAAAAAGGAUUCUCAGCUGGAUGCAGGAGAGUUAUUGGACUAGAUGACUGCUUUUUCAAGGGAGCAACCAAUGGAGAGCUUCUAUGUGCUACAGGGAGAAAUGCUAACAAUCAGAUGUAUCCUAUUGCAUGGGUAGUGGUUACCAAGGAGAACAAUGAGUAAUGGGAUUGGUUUAUGGAUUUGCUUUGCAGUGACCUAAAAAUUGACACUGGAGCUGGUUGGGUCUUCAUUUCAGACCAACAAGAGGGUAUCCUUAAUGCUGUGCAGAAAUGGGCACUUGAGGCUAAACACAGGAACUGCGCUAGGCACAUGCUAAUCGGAAGAGACACUUCCAUGACAAGCAAUUCCAAAAGAAGUUUUGGAAGUGUGCAAAUGCUCCUUGCGGGAUGUUAUUUAACCUUGCUAGGGCAAAACUUGUUCAGCUGAUUCAGGCUGGAGCACAACCCAUCCUCAACACACAUCCUAAGCAAAGCAUGGUUCAGGUUAGAUUCUAACUGUGACUUAGUGGACAACAACAUGUGUGAAUCUUUCAACAAAUGGAAACUAGAAUCUAAGUUUUAUCUAAUAAUCACAAUGCUUAAGAAAAUUAGGAGAAAAAUGAUGGUUAGGAUCAGUGAUCAGAAAACAAAUGGUGCUAGAUGGACAACUGUUGUAUGCCUAGGUAUUCUGAAAAAAACUUAAUGUAUACAUCAGUGAGUCAGCUUUCUGCCAUGCCAUUUGCAAUGGAGGUGAUCGUUUUGAGGUUAAGCACCAUGAACAUAGAUUUACAGUACACAUGGACAAGAAAGAAUGCUCCUAUAGUUACUGGUAGCCAUGCCCUAUGUAAUAUCAUGCAUCUUUUAUAGAACCAACGAGCUAGAUGACUACAUUGUACCUUGUUACUCUGUGGAAGCCUUCAGAAGUACAUAUGUUCUUGGCCCCAGGAUGAUAGAGAGCCACUCAAUACUCCUAGAUACAUAAAGAUGCCAGGCAUACCAAGGACUGGAAGGAGCAGAAAAAUGCAUAAACCACCCAAGCCAACAAAAAUGUCCAAGUUUGGGACAGUGACCAGAUGCACAAGGUGCAAGCAGGUUGGGCACCAAAAAUCUUGGUAUGCAAAGCAUAAUGUUGCCGGUGUAGGAUCAAGGAGGCCGACUAGAGAGGGGGUGAAUAGGCGGUUUUAAAACUUAAUGGCACUUAAACAAAACUAACAUAAGUUGCUAGGCAAGGUGAGGUGCAAGGUU